UCCUGUAUCGAAAGUGGUCAUGGCGUCCUCGUCGUCAGAUCAUUGAUAGUACAGGAACAUGAACAUGAGAGCCUUUCCCGUGUGUGAAGGAUCUGGUUCCUCUCAGACCCCGAAGCUCUCAGACA
ensembl:snoRNA SNORA71 Small nucleolar RNA SNORA71